UACGUAGGGUGCAAGCGUUAAUCGGAAUUACUGGGCGUAAAGCGUGCGCAGGCGGUUUUGUAAGACAGAUGUGAAAUGCCCGGGCUUAACCUGGGAACUGCAUUUGUGACUGCAAGGCUAGAGUUUGGCAGAGGGGGGUAGAAUUCCACGUGUAGCAGUGAAAUGCGUAGAUAUGUGGAGGAAUACCGAUGGCGAAGGCAGCCCCCUGGGUCAAGACUGACGCUCAUGCACGAAAGCGUGGGGAGCAAACAGG
rnacentral:rRNA from 1 species